UUCAUAGGCAUGGGUACUAGGGUAAAGCGCUGUGGUGCCACUGGGAAAAGAGAAUUUUUACAGAGAUUUAAAGGAUGGGAGGAAGUGGGGGUGUAUGGAGACAAACAUGUUAGGCAGAGAAACUACAAGGAAGGAAGAAAUCUCAGGGUGCAGAGUGAAAGCUGCCAAGGUCUGAGUGGGGAGCACUGUUCAAAAUUUACAGACACCGGAGGCAUUGGCCAUGAAGCAGGACAUCUGGCCUCAUCCCCCAUCUUGAACACCUGCUUUCUGUGCCAUAGAAGAGAUAGCUCAGCGAAUCUUGAGGGAAUGGAUGACAUCAGCUCAGGAGGGAAAGAAAUGCUGUCUUGAGUAACACCAGAUACAACUGGCCUUUUCUUGGAACAUUCGGCUUGGCAAGUGGAGGCUGUGUCUUCCCUGUCUCCCCACUACACCUGAGCCCCUCCAUAGUGGGGCUGUCACGCUGCCCACGAACUCUGAGCAGAACUGUGGCAGCAAGGAAAACAAGUCGACUUCCUUCUGAUCACUGCUGUGUAACAGAAGGUCCCAAGACUUUUUACUGGUGAACGCUGUUUUCUUCUGUUGUCGUUAUAUAAGUUUGCAAUACAUUCAUUCGGGGGAAUUGGUAAGUACAUAUGCUGCGCCUUGGUCAUUUCCCCAGACCUCCUUCUCAUCUCCAGAAAGUGCAGUGACACAUCUGAGCUCAGGGGACACCGCUGCCCCGUGUUUACAGCAACUCGACUCACAGUAGGAAAGUUAGGGAAGCCACCUAUAAGCCCAUCACAGAUAAAUGGAUGAACUCACACAGUACCAGCACUCGGCCAUAAAAGGAUGAAGCUGAGUCAUCUGUGGGAAAAUAGAGAAAUCUUGAGAUUGUAAUGUUAAGCGAAACAAACUGACACCGAGGUUAAAUAUUGUGUGCUUUCUCUUACACGUGAAUCCUAAAAUGUAGAUUAAGAGCAAAAUAAAGAAGAGAUGGUAGGAAGUGGGCAGUGUUUUUAGAAUGAAAGAAUGAAGUACCCGUAAUG
rnacentral:lncRNA from 1 species